GUGAGAUUCACCCUAAAAAGUGUCAGCAUUUCCCCCAGUGCUUUUCUUUAUGCUGUCUGAAUUUGUGCCAAUGUAAUUACAGAGCAGAUCCAGAGGAUAAAUCGAGCCGGAGUCAAUCAAGCAGAUGUGCAGCCUGCUGGUCUGAAGAUCUGGUCUGAUCCCUUCAAGCCAAAAUCAUGAUUCCAGUGUGUGGAUGAAAACGGAAUGAAUGAACAUGAGGACUGAUGUGUCACUCACUGAGGAUUGAGGAUUUGAGAUACACACACAUUAACUCUUUACUACCAUGCAUUAAAUGAGACUUUAAGGAUGUAUGGAUCUUCUGAGUAUGUAUAUUUUCUGUUGGAAUAUGAUUGAAACUAGCAUGACCGAAUAACUGAAAAGAAUUCAAAUAAAGUGAAAAUGAAAACUU